rnacentral:rRNA from 1 species
GACGAACGCUGGCGGCGUGCCUAAUACAUGCAAGUCGAACGCACAGUUUAUACCGUAGCUUGCUACACCAUAGACUGUGAGUUGCGAACGGGUGAGUAACGCGUAGGUAACCUGCCUGGUAGCGGGGGAUAACUAUUGGAAACGAUAGCUAAUACCGCAUAAUAUUGAUUAUUGCAUGAUAAUUGAUUGAAAGAUGCUAUUGCAUCACUACCAGAUGGGCCUGCGUUGUAUUAGCUAGUAGGUGAGGUAACGGCUCACCUAGGCGACGAUACAUAGCCGACCUGAGAGGGUGAUCGGCCACACUGGGACUGAGACACGGCCCAGACUCCUACGGGAGGCAGCAGUAGGGAAUCUUCGGCAAUGGACGAAAGUCUGACCGAGCAACGCCGCGUGAGUGAAGAAGGUUUUCGGAUCGUAAAGCUCUGUUGUAAGAGAAGAACGGGUGUGAGAGUGGAAAGUUCACACUGUGACGGUAUCUUACCAGAAAGGGACGGCUAACUACGUG